rnacentral:rRNA from 1 species
AUAAUAAUUUGUCUUUUAAUUGAAGGCUGGUAUGAAUGAUUUGAUGAAGUAAAAACUGUCUCUAUUAAAUUAUUAAUUUAAUUUUAUUUUUUAGUUAAAAAGCUAAAAUAUUAUUAAAGGACGAGAAGACCCUAUAGAGUUUAAUAAUAAAUUAAUUAUUUUAUUUAAAUUUUAAUAAAUUAUUUUUUUUUAUUAUUUUGUUGGGGUGAUAGGAAAAUUAAUUAAACUUUUUUAAUUAUUUUUAACAUUGAUUUAUGAAUUUUUGAUCUUUAAAUUAAGAUUAUUAGAAUAAAUUACCUUAGGGAUAACAGCGUUAUUUUUUUUAAAGUUCUUAUUUAUAAAAAAGAUUGC